rnacentral:rRNA from 1 species
UGGGGAAUAUUGGACAAUGGGCGAAAGCCUGAUCCAGCCAUGCCGCGUGAGUGAUGAAGGUCUUCGGAUUGUAAAGCUCUUUAGGUAGGGAAGAUAAUGACGGUACCUACAGAAUAAGUCACGGCUAACUCUGUGCCAGCAGCCGCGGUAAUACAGAGGUGGCGAACGUUGUUCGGAUUUACUGGGCGUAAAGCGCUUGUAGGCGGCUUGGUCAGUUGGGUGUGAAAGCCCCGGGCUCAACCCGGGAAUUGCACUCAAAACUGCCUCGCUAGAGUCACGGAGAGGAUGACGGAAUUCCCAGUGUAGCAGUGAAAUGCGUAGAUAUUGGGAGGAACACCAGUUGUGAAGACGGUUGUCUGGACGUGUACUGACGCUGAGAAGCGAAAGCGUGGGGAGCAAA